AUUGAACGCUGGCGGCAUGCUUUACACAUGCAAGUCGAACGGCAGCGCGGGCUUUGGCCUGGCGGCGAGUGGCGAACGGGUGAGUAAUGCAUCGGAACGUGCCCAGUAGUGGGGGAUAGCCCGGCGAAAGCCGGAUUAAUACCGCAUACGACCUGAGGGUGAAAGCGGGGGACCGAAAGGCCUCGCGCUAUUGGAGCGGCCGAUGUCGGAUUAGCUAGUUGGUGGGGUAAAGGCUUACCAAGGCGACGAUCCGUAGCUGGUCUGAGAGGACGACCAGCCACACUGGGACUGAGACACGGCCCAGACUCCUACGGGAGGCAGCAGUGGGGAAUUUUGGACAAUGGGGGCAACCCUGAUCCAGCCAUGCCGCGUGCGGGAAGAAGGCCUUCGGGUUGUAAACCGCUUUUGUUCGGGAAGAAAUCCUCUGGGCUAAUACCCCGGGGGGAUGACGGUACCGGAAGAAUAAGCACCGGCUAACUACGUG
rnacentral:rRNA from 1 species